rnacentral:rRNA from 1 species
GAAACCAGGUGAUCUAGCCAUGGGCAGGUUGAAGGUUGAGUAACAUCAACUGGAGGACCGAACCGACUAAUGUUGAAAAAUUAGCGGAUGACUUGUGGCUAGGGGUGAAAGGCCAAUCAAACCUGGAGAUAGCUGGUUCUCCCCGAAAGCUAUUUAGGUAGCGCCUCGGACGAAUACUACUGGGGGUAGAGCACUGUUAAGGCUAGGGGGUCAUCCCGACUUACCAACCCUUUGCAAACUCCGAAUACCAGUAAGUACUAUCCGGGAGACACACGGCGGGUGCUAACGUCCGUCGUGGAGAGGGAAACAACCCAGACCGCCAGCUAAGGUCCCAAAUUACUACUAAGUGGGAAACGAUGUGGGAAGGCUCAGACAGCCAGGAUGUUGGCUUAGAAGCAGCCAUCAUUUAAAGAAAGCGUAAUAGCUCACUGGUCGAGUCGGCCUGCGCGGAAGAUGUAACGGGGCUAAGUAG